ACACUCCUACGGGAGGCAGCAGUGGGGAAUUUUGGACAAUGGGCGCAAGCCUGAUCCAGCCAUGCCGCGUGCGGGAAGAAGGCCUUCGGGUUGUAAACCGCUUUUGUCAGGGAAGAAAAGGUUCUGGCUAAUACCUGGGACUCAUGACGGUACCUGAAGAAUAAGCACCGGCUAACUACGUGCCAGCAGCCGCGGUAAUACGUAGGGUGCAAGCGUUAAUCGGAAUUACUGGGCGUAAAGCGUGCGCAGGCGGUUAUGCAAGACAGAGGUGAAAUCCCCGGGCUCAACCUGGGAACUGCCUUUGUGACUGCAUGGCUAGAGUACGGUAGAGGGGGAUGGAAUUCCGCGUGUAGCAGUGAAAUGCGUAGAUAUGCGGAGGAACACCGAUGGCGAAGGCAAUCCCCUGGACCUGUACUGACGCUCAUGCACGAAAGCGUGGGGAGCAAACAGGAUUAGAAACCCGGGUAGUCCCAU
rnacentral:rRNA from 1 species